ensembl:lncRNA
UAAUUCUAAAUAAGUGGCAGUUGUGAUGGUGGCUAUGAGGGUAUCUGCUAAAAAAAAAAUGCUAUAAACGUGGCUGCACUUGCAGACCAUCCGUUAGCAUUAAUAAAUAAACGAGUAAACAUAUGUAGCCUAGCCUUCAUAGUGUUCAACUAUCCCUUACGCAAGUUUGGAUGUAAUUUGAAGUGUGCUUUUCUCUGUGUGUCUGUAUACUUGUCUGUCUCCCAAAUUCACCUCACUUUAUCUCUGUCUUUGCAACUGCACAUCCAGACACCAUGCAGCGUGUGCAGCCGCCAUCCUCUUUUUUCAGAUCGCCUUCUCGGUCCACGGAAAUACUGUACUGUUUGGGGGAUCCUGAACGACAGGAACGGCCACGCAUCUGAGUCAAAUUCCAGACGCUCAUGCUAAUUGACCACAUCCGUGCUGAAGUCUGCCGUCUUCUUAACGCCGGCAUUGUGACCGAGGCCGGCCUUCUGCAUCACAGCCUAGAGAGCAGACGCACGGUGCUGGAAGGAGUCUGGCCCAGACGUGGCCCAGUGCCGGGCUCCUGUCUGGGAGGGGCUGGGGCUUAUUAUAGCCCGAGCGGAGGGACACAGCCGCACGGAAAGUCACCGCAGAUUAAAACAGAACAACGGGAGCAUUCUGUCGGCAUCUGAUAAUGUGGAGCGGAGCCUGGGAAAAGCUGAGUGUUUUUUUGUGACAGCGACACGACUGUUUUCUGUUUUUCUUUUUUUUUUGCUUUCCUCCUACUUGUUGUUGUUUUCGUUUUCCUUCUUUGUUUUUCACGUUUUUUCCUCUCUCUCUCUCUCUUUCUCUCUGUCUCUCUCUGUCUCUCUCUCUGUCUCUCUCUCUCGCACACUUUUUUCUGGUGCCUGGGCGCCAAGGCCUCGUCAAUCUUUCGCCACCGUGGCUGUCUGAAAAGGUGGAUGAUUAACGUCUGUCGGCGGCGACUAGCAACUGGAGGUGAGGUCACGGCGUAUCGGUGCGUGCGACAAUGCCCAUUGUUCCCUCCUGCUUCGCAGGAAGUGGGCGCGCGGGACUUCCUGUGACCAGUGCGAUUGUUCCAGGUAGGGGCCCAGCGGUCCCCUGGGGCGCCUUCAGUUUCCCUGCCAUGUGACACACACACAUGCAUAUACACACAUAAAUAUGCAUACACACGUUCACACUUGUGUACAAAAAUAACAGUAACAGACAUUCACACUUGUGUACAAAAAUACGC